GAUGAAGAACGUAGCGAAAUGCGAUAAGUAAUGUGAAUUGCAGAAUUCAGUGAAUCAUCGAAUCUUUGAACGCACAUUGCGCCCGCCAGUAUUCUGGCGGGCAUGCCUGUCCGAGCGUCAUUUCAACCAUCAAGCCCCGGGCUUGUGUUGGGGACCUGCGUCCGACGCAGGCCCUGAAAACCAGUGGCGGGCUCGCUGUCCACACCGAGCGUAGUAACUAACCUCGCUAUGGAGUGGCGCGGGCGCCUGCCGUAAAACCCCCAAUUUCACAAGGUUGACCUCGGAUCAGGUAGGAAUACCCGCUGAACUUAAGCAUAUCAAAAGCGGAGGA
rnacentral:misc_RNA from 1 species